rnacentral:lncRNA from 1 species
CAAUCCCUUAAGAUAAAUCCCUCUGCAUAUAUAACUAAUUGUGUUUCUUUGGAAAACAUAAGUGGGUCCCCAUUAGGAAAUUUCUCACAGUUAGCAGAUUAUGAUCAACUCUGGGAAGAGAAGAGCAGAACUAUUUUGAGAUAUAAAUAUAAAAUGCUUGGCCUCGUAAACCCAGAUAAGAUGUGUCUAAAAUCAUGUCUGUGCCGGGCUGGAGCAGGAUGUGUUUCAGAGAGAAGCAAGGAAAAGUAGAAAAAUAGCAGCAGCAGCAGCAGCAGGAAAGAUCACCACUACAACCACCACCACCACCAUCACCACAGACAGCUACAAGCCAACCCACUAACAAAAUAUGAUGGAAGAAGCCCAUAUAGAUGCAGAAGGACUUCACAAAAUGGCCCAGCACCAAGGACCCAUAACUAUCCAGGCCUUUUCACUCUCUGCCUUUUGAUGAGAGAUCUGAAGCACAUGGAGACUAAGUGGAAUCACCCAGAAGAGGCAUUAACACAAUUAAUGGGUCUGAGACACCCCCCGUGAGGCUGCUGUGUCAGGGGAGGAAGAGACCUAAGAACACAGCACGUCGUACUUGCUGUGCCUUCGGGCCUCCAUCAUGGGAAACCUGAGUUCGGUAAAGUUCCUCCAAGACAGAGGGACAUUUCGAAAAUAUACAACUUCAAGGAGUUUACCUUUCUGUACUCGGUGCAGGCUUUCUCCUGAAAGAACCCCAUGAUGCAGUGAUUCUUCAUAAGGACCGAGCCGUGGAUGCAGUCCUCAUGUUGAGUUCAUAUUAUUAAAACAAC